rfam:Halanaerobium kushneri strain ATCC 700103 genome assembly, contig: Ga0104713_113
UCAAUUAAGGGCAAAACUGCUGAAAAGCAGUGACGCAAAGCUAUGGGUCUUUUUGAGAUCGCCAGGCUGCAGAGA